rnacentral:rRNA from 1 species
GACGAACGCUGGCGGCGUGCCUAAUACAUGCAAGUAGGACGCAGUUGCGAACGGGUGAGUAACGCGUAGGUAACUACCUAUUAGAGGGGGAUAACUAUUGGAAACGAUAGCUAAGACCGCAUACUAGUAAAUGGACCUGGGUUGUCUUAGCUAGUAGGUAGGGUAAUGGCCUACCUAGGCAACGAUACAUAGCCGACCGGAGAGGGGGAUCGGCCAAACUGGGACGGAGAGACGGCCCAGACCCCUACGGGAGGCAGCAGGAGGGAAUCUUCGGCAAUGGGGGGAACCCUGACCGAGCAACGCCGCGGGGGUGAAGGAGGGUUUCGGGUCGUAAAGCUCUGUUGUUAAGGAAGCGGUACUUAACCAGAAAGGGACGGCUAACUACGUGCCAGCAGCCGCGGUAAUAC